GAUUGAAGAACGUAGCGAAAUGCGAUAAGUAAUGUGAAUUGCAGAAUUCAGUGAAUCAUCGAAUCUUUGAACGCACAUUGCGCCCGCCAGUAUUCUGGCGGGCAUGCCUGUCCGAGCGUCAUUUCAACCCUCGAACCCCUCCGGGGGGUCGGCGUUGGGGACCUCGGGAGCCCCUAAGACGGGAUCCCGGCCCCGAAAUACAGUGGCGGUCUCGCCGCAGCCUCUCCUGCGCAGUAGUUUGCACAACUCGCACCGGGAGCGCGGCGCGUCCACGUCCGUAAAACACCCAACUUCUGAAAUGUUGACCUCGGAUCAGGUAGGAAUACCCGCUGAACUUAAGCAUAUCAAUAAGCGGAGGA
rnacentral:misc_RNA from 1 species